UACGUAGGGGGGCAAGCGUUGUCCGGAUUUAUUGGGCGUAAAGAGCGUGUAGGCGGCUUGGUAGGUCUGCUGUGAAAUCCCGAGGCUCAACCUCGGGUCUGCAGUCGAUACGAGCAAACUAGAGUGUUGCAGGGGAGACUGGAAUUCCUGGUGGUAGCGGUGAAAUGCGCAGAUAUCAGGAGGAACACCGGUGGCGAAGGCGGGUCUCUGGGCAACAACUGACGCUGAGGAGCGAAAGCGUGGGGAGCGAACAGG
rnacentral:rRNA from 1 species